UACGUAGGGUGCGAGCGUUGUCCGGAAUUACUGGGCGUAAAGAGCUCGUAGGCGGUUUGUCGCGUCGUCUGUGAAAUUCUGCAACUCAAUUGUAGGCGUGCAGGCGAUACGGGCAGACUUGAGUACUACAGGGGAGACUGGAAUUCCUGGUGUAGCGGUGAAAUGCGCAGAUAUCAGGAAGAACACCAAUGGCGAAGGCAGCUCUCUGGGACGGUACUGACGCUGAGACGCGAAAGCGUGGGGAGCGAACAGG
rnacentral:rRNA from 1 species